GUAGAUUCUCCUCAUCCUCCAGAAGGAGCACAGCCUUGCUGACACUUCAAUUUUAGCCCAGUGACGUCCGUGUCUGACUGCUGAACUGUUACAGAACUGUGAGGUGCUAAGAAGAAAAUAAACAGAGAACGUCUUGCAGUGGGCAGCCAUUUCAGGAGGUAAAUGCCGGGGGGUGGUGUUUGAACAGUGACGGAAGGACAUGAAGAAGCGAGCGUGUGAAGGUGUGGAAGAAGUACAAUCCAUGCAGAAGAACCAGCAAGCCUUCUUUCCAUCUGGCAGUAUUAUGCAAGAUUCGGAACGAAUCUCCUCCUCCUCUCUUGCCUCUUCUCUUUUCUUUUAAAAAACCAAUUGAGAUUAUUAAAACCAAG
rnacentral:lncRNA from 10 species